rnacentral:rRNA from 1 species
AACGAACGCUGGCGGCAUGCCUAACACAUGCAAGUCGAACGAGGCCUUCGGGUCUAGUGGCGCACGGGUGCGUAACGCGUGGGAACCUGCCCUUAGGUUCGGAAUAACUCCCCGAAAGGGGUGCUAAUACCGGAUAAUGUCUUCGGACCAAAGAUUUAUCGCCUUUGGAUGGGCCCGCGUUGGAUUAGCUAGUUGGUAGGGUAAAAGCCUACCAAGGCGACGAUCCAUAGCUGGUCUGAGAGGAUGAUCAGCCACACUGGGACUGAGACACGGCCCAGACUCCUACGGGAGGCAGCAGUGGGGAAUAUUGGACAAUGGGCGAAAGCCUGAUCCAGCAACGCCGCGUGAGUGAUGAAGGCCUUAGGGUUGUAAAGCUCUUUUACCCGGGAUGAUAAUGACAGUACCGGGAGAAUAAGCUCCGGCUAACUCCGUG